rnacentral:rRNA from 1 species
UUGGUACGGCGAGUGACCAGGGAAAAGCCCAGCACCGAAGACUGUGGCCAGUUGGCUACUAGUCAAUGUGGUGUUUAGGUUGUUCCGGCGGAGUCGCUGCCCCACCCUAAGUCCAUGAAUGAGUAUGGUAAAUGGACAUGGCCCACAGAGGGUGACAGGCCCGUGGGGGUGGGGAGCAGGCAGGCCAGCGACGCCCUGGAUAAACCUUGGAGUCGGGUUGUUUGUGAUUGCAGCCCAAAGUGGGUGGUAAACUCCAUCCAAGGCUAAAUACCAGCACGAGUCCGAUAGCAAACAAGUACCGUGAGGGAAAGUUGAAAAGUACUUUGAAGAGAGAGUAAACAGUGCGUGAAACCGAUCAGAGGUAAACGGGUGGAGUUGAACUGCAAGCUCUGAGAAUUCAGCUGGUGAGUGUGGUUUGAGCUUGGUCAAGUCAGUUGGACUUUGUGGUCUGCGAGGCACUUAGCAAGUGUUGUGGGCCAUAGAGUUCUUCGGACUGGCUCACCUGUGCACUUUCUCAGAGUGGUCACCACGACCGGCAUUGCUGUCUGGCUGAUGGGGUUAAACCGGUUUUGCAUGGUCCUUGUGGCUCUGCUUGAUCGGGACGGCAGGUAGCUCGUUGGCCUGCUCGCGGUUCGCUGUGAGCGUGGUUUUCGAGUGUAAUCAGCUGACCACAUUGGUUCUGUGCAGUAUGUUGGAGACGGCGGCUAGUGCGCGUGCGUUCAUAGUUGGUCGGCGUGUCCGAGUUUGGUUGUUACGUUGCCUGUGGGGGCAGCCUGAUAAUGACUCGGAUACGUUCGACUGGCUUGCGUACGAGUACAAUAUGGGCC